GGAUUCACCUUAACCUAUUCUUCUGUUGUCAUUUGUCUCCAUAUAUUGACAGACUGCCAGGCCAUCUCUACUGCUCCCCCAGGCUAAGACCAUCUCUUCCCUCACCAAGGCACGUGGGUUCCCUGACAGGGGGUGAAAGAAAGAUAUAGGUUAGUGAUGCAGGAGUAGCCUCCACAAAUCUUCCUCUGGCAACAGAAUCAGCACUGACCAAGUACAACUAUAACCCAGUGAAAUUCCUGCUGAGUGCCUUUCUCUCAUUGAGAUGGACAGCUUGUGAGGGGACCCAAUUUGGCUCAGAAGCACCCCCAGAUGAAAAAGUGAGAGAUAUUUGUCUAUUGUCAUGAUUCUCUGUGAGGUAAGUUAUCAGUAUAUUCAAUGAAAACCCGUGUUAAUUUUGUUAAAUAAUAGUGGAUUCCAUACCUGUUCAUAAUAGAAUCAAGCAAUACACAGAGGGGCUGUUUAACUUGACUUUAUUCUUUAUUCUGCUCAUGUUACAUGGAGAAUAGAGAAACAACUAAAGCACUACAGUCAGGAGAUUUUCAGAAAGGUCCAUCCGAGAGCUUCACUCUUCAUCAUGUCCUUUCUGUAACACAAGAUGGAUGAAGGUUAAAAUGUAAUAAACUAUUGUAAACACAAAAAAACAAUAUUUCAAUUUAUUGUUAUAUGAAUGAUAGUAUGGUUAUUGGACAUAAAAUGCUUGGGACUGUCAUCAUACUUGAGAUGAGUUUGCAAAUUAUAACCAAUAUUAUUAUUUUAAUUAAAAGAACUGACCUGGGAGCCAGCAUCACAACUAUUGGACUCACUCCUCAUCCUUUCCUUUCUGUGUCAGGGAAGAUAGAUGGAUUGAUUGAUUAUUAGAACAUUUUACUGUGUACUGAAAAACAUUUUAUAUUGCCGUAUACCGUGUCUUCCUGUUGAAAUUUUACAAUAAGGAACUUCAACAGGUAUGUAUAGUUACUUGGUAACAAUGUAAUAGAUUAUGCAUCUAUUACUUAUUUUCUUCAGGAAUCAAUGAGUUAAUAUCGAGAAUUGAAAUGACCAUUAAACAGAGUCCCAGUUCCCAGAAAGUUGAGGCUUUUGAAACAGAAACUUCACUGACCUUGGAACCGGCAUCACGACUCUUGGCUCUCAUCUUGUUGACCUGAGACUCAGCAAUAUCAGCCCUCUCUUCUGCCUCAUCCAGUUCAUGCUGAAUCUUACGGAACUUGCCCAAAUUGGAAUUGGCUUGUUCCUCCUGUGAUUUAAAAAAAAUAUUAUUUAAAGGUUUCUAGCAAACAAAACAAUUUGAGAAUUAAAUAUGCAACAUAUGGAUGAUAGAAGGUUACUUACAGCCUCCUCUGAAGUUCUCUUGUAGGAUUUGACCUUCAGCUGCAGUUUGUCCACCAGGUCCUGCAGGCGGCUCAAAUUCUUACGGUCUUCCUCAGUCUGCACCCAAAAAGAAGGGAAGAAAUAUACUGUCAUAUACUGUAUAUAUCUUACAUUUGAUUCUGAGCAUGUUAAUGUUAAUUGUUAACUGUGCACUGUUAGAUUAAAACAAUGUACCUGGUAGGUGAGCUCUUUGAUGCGUCUCUCAUAUUUACGGACUCCUUUCACAGAAUCACUGCUCCUCCUUUGCUCCAGUUCCACUUCAGUCUCUAGCUCUCUCACCUUGAAAGAUAUGAUCGAUGUUAACACACCAUGUACAUUUAUUUUGUUAGUUAUCACUACUUUCAAUAUUGAAGCUACAAAUAUGACUAGAAAUAUGAAAUGUGACAUUGAAUUAAUAGAAGAGAAUGUAGCUUAGACACUCACUCUGGCCUCCAAUUUCUGGAUCUGCUUCUUGCCACCCUUCAUGGCGAUUUGUUCAGCUUCAUCCAGGCGGUGCUGCAGGUCCUUGAUGGUCUGCUCCAUGUUCUUUUUCAUGCGCUCCAGGUGAGCACUGGUGUCCUGCUCCUUCUUCAGCUCUUCUGCCAUCAUGGCAGCAUCAGUAAUGGCCUUCUUGGCCUUUUCCUCAGCAUUUCUACACUCCUGCACAGCCUCCUCCACUUCAUUCUGAAGCUGGGAUGUGUCGCCCUCUAGCUUCUUCUUCUGGCUCAGUAAGCUGGUGUUCUACACAUACAGUAUAUAUGACAAAUUAUUUGUAUAUUACCUCUACAUACCUCAAGUAGCAGAUAUUUAAGGAGAACCCUAAUUGUUCUAUAUUACUGUCUUACCUGUGAGUGCAACAGCUGAACUCUCUCACUAACAUCCAGCAGUUCCUGCUCAGCCAGUUUGCGGCCUCUCUCAGUCUGCUCCACCAGGGCUCUCAGCUCAUCCAGUUCAGCCUGAAUCAGGUUGUUACGUCUCUCCACAAUGGCAAUGUUCUCCUUCAGGUCAUCAUUGCUACGAAGAGCAUCAUCCAGCUGCAUUUGAGAAUCCUUUAGAGAGAAUAGAUUUGACUAUGUUUAUUUUCUUGUUUCACAGUGUGGUUUGGCUUUAUCCAAAGGCACAAGCAAUGUUUUUAAUUCAGUGGUGUGGAAGUAAUACCUUCAGAUGGGAAUGGAGACCCUUAAGUUGCUUCUGGGCCUCGGAUGCCUGCCUGUUUGCCUGGCUGAGCUGGAUCUCCAUCUCAUUGAGAUCUCCCUCCAUCUUCUUCUUCAGCCUGAGAGCUUCAUUCCUGCUGCGAGUCUCUGACUCCAGGGAGCUUUGCAGGGUAUCCACAACUCUCUGCUGGUUCCUCUUAUUCAUCUCCAUUUCCUCAUCCUUCUCCACCAGCUUCCGUUCAAUGUCAGAUUUCACCUGAUUGAACUCCAGCUGAGCUCUCAUGAUCUUGCCUUCCUCAUGCUCUAGGGAGGCCUAUGAGAACACAGCCACCCAUAGUUUGUAAAAUCUUAAAAUAAAAUGUUAUCUGGACAAUAAACUAUCUGUAAAUGUUUUCUAUUCUCACCUCAGCUUCCUCUAGAGCAGACUGUAUCUCAGCCUUCUCCUGCUCCAGCUGUUUACGGAUCUUCUCCAGUUCAUGGAUGCUCUUUCCUCCUUCACCAAGCUGCUCCGUCAGGUCAGAAAUUUCCUCUGUGGAAAAAUAUUAUUGUACAUCGGAAUAAUUUUGUGAUAACUAUUGUUGAUUAUGGGUGAGGCAAAUGGGGGGAAAAUCCCAAUGUUUAAUCCGUUAAAACAUUUUUUUUUAAAUGCAUAAAAUUCCAUGUGAAUUCACACUGCAGCUGUGCUGCUGCCAGCAACGGUUUGGGUCUCACGGUGCGUCCCUUUCAGAUGGCAUAGCACCUGUACUACCAUUACUGUACCUCAAUUCUACUCUGCAAAGUUUGCAUUUCACCACCAUCUCAUUUCAUUUGUCAAAGUAUUGCCAUAUAGUACUUCACUGCUGUCUCUUGCCUUUGCCAUCUUUCCAACUGUUAAUGACGAUGAUUUAGUGGUGGAGAGUCGACUCCAAAAUAAUCGAUUCCUCAACUCUUUGCACGUCAUGUCCACGUGUCGACUCCCAUUUGUGAGUGUCAAGAUUAGAUUCCGCGACUCCUCAACUCCUAAAAUUCAGUAUUUUUGGAAUGGAAUGGAGGAGAUUAGUUGCCGUACUAUCGAGAACACUCACAUUUUCUAUAGCGAGCUAGAGAGGGACGGAGAAGGAGGGGAGGGGCACAGUAUAGGCAGGUCGGCCACCAUGCAGACAGUCAGAACUGUGCACUUGGCCUAUCUAUUGGGUAAUCAAAAGCCUUAUCUCCAAAUGGAAGCUGUAUCUCGCAAUUUCUUGGCUUGCAAUAGGCUAGGACAUUCUACACGCAACAGACCGGGAAGACUGAACACAUAUUUGUAUCAUUAGCAAAGAGCAACAGCAAGCGAGCCAGAGCGAGAGAGAGGACAUGGCCAUUGUCAUAUGUCUUGGUAAUCUGUACAUUUACCAAAGUAGCCUAAAAUUUGACUCUUCCCCCUCUGGUUUUAUUUAAAUUACACAACAAAACCCAGGUCUUUAUAGCCUAUCGUCUAGUUUGGCAAAGAAUAUGUUUUGUUAUAACUGCACUGUGAUUUUAAUUUUGUGGGGGAAAAACACACAAAAAAAUGUUUUUUGUUAGUGGAUUUAUUCUUAACUUCAACGAUCCCAAUUCCGUUUUAACGUUUAAACAUUCACACGCAUAAUCUCUAUUACAUAUCGAUCUUUCAUUGACUAAAUUAUAUAGGCUAAUAAUGCUCAUGGUCUGACCUUGGAGGUUCUUGUUCUCCCUCUUCAUGGUCUCCAGAUGAUCCAGAGACUCCUCAUAAGAGUUCUUGAGUUUGAAGAGCUCAGUGCUGAGAGAUCUGGCCUCUUUCUGGGAGCUCUCCAGCUCAGUCUGAGACUCCUCAAACUUCUGCUUCCAGUCAGCCAGGAUCUGGAAAUCAUACAGGUAUUUUAGGUAGUUUGAAUACAGUAUAUAAUUAAGAUACAAUGUACUUUAUUGUCCAUUAACUUACAGAGAACUCACAACCCAACCCUUCAAGACACACACGGGCUGGAAGCAAUGUUUCAGUCGCACUACAGCUGGAGCAAUUAUAGGGGGUUAAGUGCCUUGCUCAAUUGGACAACAACAAGCGAUGGUAGUGUGUAAGAUGAUGCCAGAAACAUUCUGGUUGCUAGCUCACUCAACAUCAACCUUCUUGCUGGCCCACUUCUCGAACCACUAGGCUACCUGCCGCCCCUCGUACUGUAUUGAAGCCUCCUAUGGUUUGCGUAUCCAAAAUGUUUUCUUUUUUUUACCUUGUCAAAGUUCCUUUGCUUCUUGUCCAGAGAGGCAGCAGCUGCAUUAGAUCUCUCCACAUCCACCAUGAGAUCUUCAAUCUCAUUCUGGAGUCUGUGUUUAGUCUUCUCUAGGGAUGAACAUUUAGCAUUUACAGCUUCCACAGCUUCCUCUGCAUCCUGCAAACGCUGAGCCAGCUUUUUCCUAGAUUGACAUAGAUGAGAAACACAUUUCUGAACAUCUGACUUUUUUCUUCCUGAUAUAUAGUGAUUGUUUAACAGGUAUUCAACUUAUUAUUCAUUCGUCAUGUACUUUUGUGUAUCGCUCUUUCAGCCAAGGUUCAAUAGCCUGAAAAGUAAGAGAAAGUAAUAAAACAUCCUUACUUUGCGUCCUCAAGCUCCUCAGUCUUCUGGAUGGCAUCAGUUUCAUACUUGGUUCUCCACUGAGCCACCUCAGCAUUAGCCUUGGACAUGCCACGCUGCAGCUCAGACUUGGCCUCCUGCUCCUCCUCAUACUGCUCCCUCAACAGAUCGGAGUCAUGGCGAGCAGACUGCACUGCAUGGGCAAGUGCGUUCUUGGCCUGGUAAGGAAAUUUAAAAAAGGAUAAUUAUGUAAUUAUGCUGGAGGAUAGAUAGUAGUUGGAUAAAGGACACUGCAUUUGUUGUAUCAAUACCUUGACUUCCUCCUCAAGUUGUCUCUUGAGGUCUUCAAUCUGCUGAACAUUGGACUGCUUACCUCUGGUCAGUUGAGAGACCAGAGAGUCCUUCUCCUCCAACUGUCUGGCAUAUUCACCUGUUUUCAUUCAAUUCAAAUUAUUUUCAAUGAUAUUACAUACUGUGGUUAUUCAUUUCGGCUGAUCAGGUUUUUUGUUAAUAUACUGUAUGUACCAUUCUCAGUUUGAAGCUUUGCUUUCUGCAUAGUGAAAUCAUUGAUGGAUCGCUGUCCUUCCUCAGCUUUUGUCCUGUAUUCACUCAUCUGGUCCUCUAGAGUGCGGCACAUUUUCUCCAGGUUUGUCUAAAAACAGAGUUUAAAAAAAUACAGAACAGCAUCACUAAAUUUCUUCUUUAAAAUGUCGAGAAAAAACAUACAUUUUAUAGAUUGCUCAAUAAUACCACAUACUUUGGACUUGACAAUCUGCUCCAUGUUGGAGACCACAUCAUCCAGCUCCAGCCUGAGCUCACUCUUCUCUUUCUCCAGCUUCUGCUUCACUCUCUGAAGGUUGUCAAUCUGCUCUCCCAGGUCAGCUACACUGUCAGCAUUUUUCUUCCUCAGAGUGGCAGCUGUAGCCUCAUGCUGCAGGGUAGCCUCUUCAAGGUCUCUGCGCACCUUCUGGAACUCAGCCUCCCUCUUCUUGUUCAUCUCAAUCUGGGCAGCAGUGGCUCCACCAGCCUCCUCCAGCCUCUCACUGAUCUCUUCUAGCUCUCUGGACAAGUCUGCCCUCUGUUUCUCCACCUUGGCACGGGCAGCUCUUUCAGCCUCCAGCUCUUCCUCCAGCUCCUCAAUGCGGGCCUUAAAUGGUAGGAAUUCAAAUAUUCUGGUAUGAUCAGAACAUAAACAAUUGUAACAGAAGGAUUCCCUUUUCAACGAUGCUAUUGAAAUACCUGCAGCUCCUUCAGUUUCUUCUGAAGCUGGGCACUCAUGGCCUGCUCAUCCUCAAUCUUGCUGUUGAGUUGGCUCAUCUCAAAGUCCUUCCUGAUAAGUAAAUUAGACAUUUUAGCACUUUCUGUAAAAUAACUAUUCAUGAGAUGUUAUGGGUUGUGAUCUUACUUCUUCAUUCUCUCCUCCAGCUGCUGCUUGUCAUUCUCCAGGUCCAUUAGGCUCUCCUGGGUCAACUUUAAAUCUCCCUCCAGCUUUCUCUUGGCUCUCUCAAGGUCCAUUCUCACCUUCUUCUCUUGCUCCAGAGACCCUUCAAGCUGAUAAAGGAUAUAUUAAACAAUAUUCAUAGUAAGCAAUUUACUGUUGCAUAUUUUUAGGAUAUUACUAAUUUUGUUGUACUUUUUAUGAAUUACUAUUUGAUACCCACAUCAUCAACUUGCUGUUCCAGUUUGGCUUUGGCCUUGGUCAGCGUGUUGACUUUGUCCUCCUCACUCUGCAGGUCAUCCAGCGUUUGCUGAUGAGCCUCUUGCAGAGCCUUCUUCUCCUUGGUCAGCUUGGCAAUGAUUUCAUCCAGAGCUGCCAUUUCCUCAGUCAGGUUUUUAACCUUUGGAAAAGGAACAGUGUCAUUACACUUAACUCCAAACCAAUUAAUUUGAGUUUGGCUCGAACUAAGGGGGCAUGUGUGGUCCGGAGUCGGGAGCUGAAACCGCUACACCAGACUCCGGCACAUGAAGUUUUAACAACACAAGAAUAAAGAUAAGCGUGUACCUUGUUCUCUGUGGCAUGCUUUUCCUUCUCCACUUUAGCCAGAGUGAGCUCCAGAUCAUCAAUGUCCUUCUUGAGUUCUGAGCACUCAUCCUCCAGCUUCCUCUUCUUAGCAGUUAGCUCUGAAUUCAUCUCCUCCUCAUCUUCCAGUCUUUCUGUCAGCUCUUUGGCUUUGGCCUCAAGCUGGAUUUUGCUCUUGAUCAGACCCUCACAUCUCUCUUCAGCAUCACCAAUAGUGUCUUCUGACUGUCAAUGUGUCAAUAUGUUGUGAGUAUAUCAAAUUCUCCAAAGCUCAAAAGUUUGGUGACAAAAUAUUUGAACACUACAAAUGAUCAACAAAUGCUCAUUGUGCGUAUCUAUUUAUCAAAUCAUGUCUCUUCUCUCUCUCUUUUUCAAUUUCUCUAGAGCUAAUAGCUAACUAGGAAAUACCAUUUUGACAAAGGAUGUGAAUGCAGCAACUGCAAUGCAGUUAAUGUUACUCACAGUUUGGACAGCGAGCUGCAGGUCAUUCCUCUCUUGGAGAAGGGACACCAUCUUUUCUUCCAGCUCCUUUCUACGAGCUUCAGAUUUAGCAUAAGCCUCUUUAAGCUUCAGGAAUUCUUCCUUCAUGUUGGCCAUCUCCUUCUCAGUCUCUGCUGACUUCAGCAGAGGUUUGAUCUUGAAGAACAUCUUCAUCCAGGGCCAAUUCUUGACACCCAUGAAGGCACGAAUGUUCCAUUGGAUCACAAGCAAGGCAUCCCUGUAAAAUUAGGUAAAUUGGCGUGUUAUAAAACCUUUUCCACCUUCAGUAUAUUGUCUGCAGAAGUUUUGUUUAUUCUAAUUCCAACCUGCGGUCAACCAUUUUCUGGAACUCAAUUCUAGCAAGUAGACCACGUGAUCUGGACUGGAAGCCAGUGAUGAUAAGAGCGAGACGAUCGUCUCUCAUCUCCUCAAGUAGACCCAGGAGACCAGCCUUGAAGAACACCUAAAGAUACACAAAGGCCGUAAUGUGAUGCUUGGAUCGUCUCAUAUUUGUCGGCAUACAGGAUUCUGUUGGGGAAGCCCUUUCUGCAGAUCCUGAUGCCUUCCAGCACACCGUUACAGCGCAGCUGGUGCAUGACCAGAGGAUUCUCCAUGGCCCCAGGAGUCUUGGUCUCGUUGGGGAUGAUGCAACGCACAAAGUGGGGAUUGACAGACUGCCAGGCCAUCUCUACUGCUCCCCCAGGCUAAGACCAUCUCUUCCCUCACCAAGGCACGUGGGCUCCCUGACAGGGGGUGAAAGAAAGAUAUCGGUUAGUGAUGCAGGAGUAGCCUCCACAAAUCUUCCAAUAGCAACAGAAUCAGCACUGACCAAGGUGCUCCCUCCUGUCCAGCGCUUCCAGAGUCUCCCUCCUGUCCAGCGCUUCCAGAGUCUCCCUCCUGUCCAGCACUUCCAGAGCCUCCCUCCUGUCCGGAGCUGCCAGAGCCGCCAGUCAGUCAGGAGGUGCAGGUGCCGUCCGUCAGUCAGGAGCUGCCGGAGCCGCCCGUCAGUCAGGAGCUGCCGGAGCCGCCCGUCAGUCAGGAGCUGCCGGAGCCGCCCGUCAGUCAGGAGCUGCCGGAGUCGCCAGUCAGUCAGGAGCUGCCGGAGCCGCCCGUCAGUCAGGAGCUGCCGGAGCCGCCCGUCAGUCAGGAGCUGCCGGAGUCGCCCGUCAGUCAGGAGCUGCCGGAGCCGCCCUUCACUCCGGCGCCGCCGGAGUCGCCCUGCGGGGUCCACGUCUCGUGCCAGAUCCGCCACCGCGGACAGAUGCCCACCCAGAACCUCCCCUAUUAGUUCAGGUUUUGCGGCCAGAGUCCGCACCUUUGGGGACUGUCACGCCCUGACCCUAGAUUGCUUUGUAUGUUUCUAUUUUUCGUUUGGUCAGGGUGUGAUGUGGGUGGGUAUUCUAUGUUGUAUGUCUAGGUGUUGUGUUUCUAUGUUUAGGCUUGGUAUGGUUCCCAAUCAGAGGCAGCUGGUUAUCGUUGUCUCUGAUUGAGAACCAUACUUAGGCAGCCUGUUUUCCCACUAAGGGUGCGGGUAGUUGUUUUCUGUCUCUGUGUCUGCACCAGACAGAACUGUUUCAUGUUGGUCUAUUUUUGUUAUUUUGGUCAUAGUGUUCUGAUUUAAAAUAAAUAUACAUCAUGAACAUGUACAACGCUGCACUUUGGUCCUCUUCACCUUCUUCAACCCACGACAGCCGUUACAGGCAUGCCACCUCUGGUAUCUACUACGGAAUGUGCAUAAUUUCACAGUCAUAGUAGUGUUAUAAUUUCACCCAGGUUGAACUAAUAUACUAUUAUCAGAUUCCCCAAAUAUGGUUAGUUGGAUUCCCCAGGUAUUCAUAGGAAAUUAGUGGGUGUCAUGGUCGGUCUCAAAGACUGAGAAAAAAGCCUUCAUUUUACAGGACCUCACUUUAAUGUUAUCUCUAUUUUUUGUUGUAGGACAGUCCAUGAGUUCUGAUAACUUACCAGAAGUGUCAGGAGAAGCCAGUACAGAGGUGGGUAAUGGCACAGCUUGUUUUCUACCUUCCCCAAGUGGACAAUGUGGGAAGUACAGGGAGAACAUUCUGAGUUAGCAGCCUAGGAGGUCACACACACUGGUUUCACCCGUACUGUAGACAGGGGAAAACAGAAGAAGUGUUAGCUCGUUGUUUCCUUGUAGUCUUUGUAUUUUUAAUUAAAGGUAAGCAAAAUAUUUUACUCCUUAGUGGGAAAUAGAUGUUCCUAUAUUUACCAUCUGUAAUAAUAUUUUGUUGAUUAGUACAGUAAUGUAAUGAAUGUUCUGUUGAAUAAAUAUUGUGUUGAUCAAUAA